rnacentral:rRNA from 1 species
GAUGAACGCUAGCUACAGGCUUAACACAUGCAAGUCGAGGGGUAACGAGAGGAAAGCUUGCUUUCCUUGUCGACGACCGGCGCACGGGUGAGUAACGCGUAUCCAACCUGCCCCUAACUAGGGAAUAACCUUGCGAAAGUAAGACUAAUACCCUAUAAUUUCCUCAGAUGCCAUCUGACGAGGAAUAAAGAUUUAUCGGUUGUGGAUGGGGAUGCGUCUGAUUAGCUUGUUGGCGGGGUAACGGCCCACCAAGGCAACGAUCAGUAGGGGUUCUGAGAGGAAGGUCCCCCACAUUGGAACUGAGACACGGUCCAAACUCCUACGGGAGGCAGCAGUGAGGAAUAUUGGUCAAGGGGCGGAAGCCUGAACCAGCCAAGUAGCGUGCAGGAUGACGGCCCUAUGGGUUGUAAACUGCUUUUAUACAGGAAUAAAGUUAGCCACGUGUGGUUAUUUGUAGGUACUGUAUGAAUAAGGACCGGCUAAUUCCGUGCCAGCAGCCGCCGUAAAAC